rnacentral:rRNA from 1 species
GACGAACGCUGGCGGCGUGCCUAAUACAUGCAAGUUGAGCGCUGAAGGUUGGUACUUGUACCAACUGGAUGAGCAGCGAACGGGUGAGUAACGCGUGGGGAAUCUGCCUUUGAGCGGGGGACAACAUUUGGAAACGAAUGCUAAUACCGCAUAAAAACUUUAAACACAAGUUUUAAGUUUGAAAGAUGCAAUUGCAUCACUCAAAGAUGAUCCCGCGUUGUAUUAGGUAGUUGGUGAGGUAAAGGCUCACCAAGGCGAUGAUACAUAACCGACCUGAAAGGGGGAGCGGCCAAACUGGGACGGGAACACGGCCCAAAACCCUGCGGGAGGCAGCAGGAGGGGAUCUUCGGGAAUGGACGAAAGUCUGACCGAGCAACGCCGGGUGAGUGAAGAAGGUUUUCGGGUCGGAAAACUCGGUUGGUAGAGAAGAACGUUAGGGAGAGUGGAAAGCGCAUCAAGUGACGGUAACUACCCAGAAAGGGACGGCUAACUACGUG